AAGAAAAAUACUACGUAAAGAAAAGGGGGGUAUGAAAUAUCCAUAGUUGAUGCAUCAGAUGGACGCCAAGUGAUUGAUAUUAUACCUCCCGGACCAGAACUUCUUGUUUCAGAGGGGGAAUCCAUCAAGCUUGAUCAACCAUUAACAAGCAAUCCUAAUGUGGGAGGUUUUGGUCAGGGGGACGCAGAAAUCGUGCUUCAGGAUCCAUUACGUGUCCAAGGCCUUUUGUUCUUCUUCGCAUCCGUUAUUUUGGCACAAGUUUUUUUGGUUCUCAAAAAGAAACUGUUUGAAAAGGUUCAAUUGUACGAAAUGAAUUUCUAG
rnacentral:rRNA from 1 species